rnacentral:rRNA from 1 species
UCCCAGACUCCUACGGGAGGCAGCAGUGAGGAAUAUUGGUCAAUGGACGCAAGUCUGAACCAGCCAUGCCGCGUGCAGGAUGACGGCUCUAUGAGUUGUAAACUGCUUUUGUACGAGGGUAAACCCCGAUACGUGUAUCGGGUUGAAAGUAUCGUACGAAUAAGGAUCGGCUAACUCCGUGCCAGCAGCCGCGGUAAUACGGAGGAUCCGAGCGUUAUCCGGAUUUAUUGGGUUUAAAGGGUGCGUAGGCGGGAUGCCAAGUCAGCGGUAAAAAUGCGGUGCUCAACGCCGUCGAGCCGUUGAAACUGGCGUUCUUGAGUGGGCGAGAGGUAUGCGGAAUGCGUGGUGUAGCGGUGAAAUGCAUAGAUAUCACGCAGAACUCCGAUUGCGAAGGCAGCAUACCGGCGCCCUACUGACGCUGAGGCACGAAAGCGUGGGUAUCGAACAGGAUUAGAUACCCGGGUA